CUACGGGGUGCUGCAGCUGAGGAUCUUUUACAAUGCGCGCAAGUGUGAUAAAGCGAGCCAGAUUGUUGUUCUUAGAACAACUUUUGUUUGCUGUAAAAAGGCAGACGAAUAAGGACUGGGUAAGACCGGUGCCAGCCGCCGCGGUAAUACCGGCGGUCCAAGUUGCAUCCAUUUUUAUUAGGUCUAAAACAUCCGUAGCUUGUUUUGUAAGUUUCUUGUGAAAUCUUAUGUCUCAAACAUGAGGCUUGCAAGAAAUACUGCAUUGCUAGAGACCGGAAGACGUAAGGAGUAUGAUUGAGGUAGCGGUAAAAUGCGUUAAUCUUAAUCAGACUAACAAUGGCGAAGGCACCUUACGAGUACGGAUCUGACAGUGAGGGAUGAAGGCUAGGGGCGCAAAACGGAUUAGAUACCCGAGUAGUC
rnacentral:rRNA from 1 species